AAUGGGGGAAACCCUGACGCAGCGACGCCGUGUGAGGGAAGAAGGCUUUCGGGUCGUAAACCUCUGUCGGGAGGGAAGAACCUUCCAGGUCUGAACAAGGCCUGGAACUGACGGUACCUCCAAAGGAAGCACCGGCUAACUCCGUGCCAGCAGCCGCGGUAAUACGGAGGGUGCAAGCGUUAAUCGGAAUCACUGGGCGUAAAGCGCGCGUAGGCCGCCUUCUAAGUCGGACGUGAAAGCCCUCGGCUCAACCGAGGAACUGCGUUCGAAACUGGGAGGCUUGAGUCCUGGAGAGGGUGGCGGAAUUCCGGGUGUAGGAGUGAAAUCCGUAGAUAUCCGGAGGAACACCGGUGGCGAAGGCGGCCACCUGGACAGGUACUGACGCUGAGGCGCGAAAGCGUGGGGAGCAAA
rnacentral:rRNA from 1 species